rnacentral:rRNA from 1 species
GACGAACGCUGGCGGCGUGCUUAACACAUGCAAGUCGAACGGAAAGGCCCUGCUUUUGUGGGGUGCUCGAGUGGCGAACGGGUGAGUAACACGUGAGUAACCUGCCCUUGACUUUGGGAUAACUUCAGGAAACUGGGGCUAAUACCGGAUAGGAGCUCCUGCUGCAUGGUGGUGGUUGGAAAGUUUCGGCGGUUGGGGAUGGACUCGCGGCUUAUCAGCUUGUUGGUGGGGUAGUGGCUUACCAAGGCUUUGACGGGUAGCCGGCCUGAGAGGGUGACCGGCCACAUUGGGACUGAGAUACGGCCCAGACUCCUACGGGAGGCAGCAGUGGGGAAUAGUGCACAAUGGGCGGAAGCCUGAUGCAGCAACGCCGCGUGCGGGAUGACGGCCUUCGGGUUGUAAACCGCUUUCGCCUGUGACGAAGCGUGAGUGUCGGUAAUGGGUAAAGAAGCACCGGCUAACUACGUG